AUUUUAGACAACUUUUGUUAGUGCGCACCAAACAACCAUGGGCCAGCGCACGGUGUUUUGCGCGCAUGCAAAUUUUGGGACCCGGAGGUUAUAUAUGGGAGUGGGAUGAGUCGAGAGCAAAAAGAGACAAAAGAGAAUUUGUGAGGAGGCUUAGUCCAAAUUACAAGUUUUUGGCUGAAUCUUUAGGCUGGAGGCUGUAUAUAGGUAAGUUUGGCGAAGGGACUGUUGCUGGUCUCAGGUCGCCUUUGGGUGAAGCUAUAGGGAGAGUUAUUAGGAUCUGGGUUUUUCAGUUCCCGAAAGCUCUUGCUAGAACUUUAUCAUUGGGUUCCAUGGCGUCUUUUGGUGGAGUUAUAGGGAGAGUAAUUAGGGUUUGGGUUUUCCAAUCCCCAAGAGCUCUUGCUAGAACUUUAUCUUUAGUUGUCAUAGUGCCUUUUGGUGAAGCUAUAGUAAGAGUUAUUAGGGGGUCUGGGAUUUCUUCUUCCCAAGAGCUCUUGCUAGAACUUUGUCACUUUCCCUCACUCCCCCCCCUCACUGCGUACUCUAGGGUGCGCACCCGCAGUAAUAUACCUCGGUAUUUUACUGUAUGGCCUCGCGAUUUAUCGCCCAAGUCUCGGGAUGACAACGUCUCCCCGAGCAAGGAAAGAAACAGUGGAUUACUAGGCUAUGCCAAAGAAAUCCCAAACUCUCAAGAUCACUCCGAUCUUUUUUUAUACUACGAGUCAGUGGACAACCCCAAAAAAAUAACUUCUUC
rnacentral:misc_RNA from 1 species